CGACUGGCGGCAUGCCUAAGACAUGCAAGUCGAACGAGAGGGCCCAAUGAAAUUGAUUGAAGGUUUGCGAGCUUGCUCAAGAACCGGAUUUCUUUGGAUUUGGAUUUCCCUCUAGUGGCAAACGGGUGAGUAACACGUGGGUUACCUGCCCUCAAGAUUGGGAUAACAAUUGGAAACGAUUGAUAAUACCGAAUGUGCUCUACGGAGUAAAGGAGCCCUUAAAGCUUCGCUUGAGGAUGGGCCUGCGGCGUAUUAGCUAGUUGGUGGGGUAACGGCCUACCAAGGCGACGAUGCGUAGCCGAACUGAGAGGUUAAUCGGCCACACUGGGACUGAGACACGGCCCAGACUCCUACGGGAGACAGCAGUUAGGAAUAUUCGUCAAUGGGGGAAACCCUGAACGAGCAAUGCCGCGUGAACGAUGAAAGGCCCUAUGGGUUGUAAAGUUCUGUUGUUUGGAAAAAAGGAUAGAUAUAGGAAAUGAUAUCUAUUUGAUGGUACCAUUCAAGAAAGCCACGGCUAACUACGUGCCAGCAGCCGC
rnacentral:rRNA from 1 species